rnacentral:rRNA from 1 species
CCUACGGGAUGCAGCAGUGAGGAAUAUUGGUCAAUGUGCGCGAGCCUGAACCAGCCAAGUAGCGUGAAGGAUGACUGCCCUACGGGUUGUACACUUCUUUUAUAAAGGAAUAAAGUAAGGCACGUGUGCCUUUUUUUAUCUACUUUAUGAAUAAGGAUCGUCUAACUCCGUGCAAGCAGCCGCGGUAAUACGGAGGAUCCGAGCGUUGUCCGGAUGUAUGGGGUUAAAAGGGAGCGUAGGUGGGUUGUGAAGUCAGUGGUGAGAGGUGGCGGCUCAACCGUGAAAUUGCAAUUGAUACUGGCAGCCUUGAGUACAGUUGAGGUAGGCGGAAUUCGUGGUGUAGCGGUGAAAUGCUUAGAUAUCACGAAGAACUCCGAUUGCGAAGGCAGCCUACUAAACUGCCACUGACAUUGAUGCUCGAAAGUGUGGGUAUCAAACAGGAUUAGAUACCCCAGUAGUC